CUUCCACAAGUCUUCGUCUUCUCUAAACAAAAUAUUUCAUUUGUGAUUUUCCAAAACAAAAACCGUAUAAACUACAGGAUGGAAGAGAACGCACGUAAUUGUUGACGUAUGGAUUGAGUGGUGCGUAUAAUGAGAGGAAUGUAUUCACUCUACGUUCAUCGCUUCGUUUCUACAACGUUGACGAGAAGGACGCAGGCCACAGGGACCUGUUAUUGUCGUCAUCGCCGCCCCAGGAGUUCGUCGCAUUAAUUAUAUCUUGAGACAAGCUUCAGGGACCAGCUUUAUACAUCCCAUCACUCACAUUGUCAUGUUAAUAUAAAAUUUACUUGUAAUAAAUUAAUAUAUUACUUUAAUCUUGCAUA